rnacentral:rRNA from 1 species
UACGUAGGGUGCGAGCGUUGUCCGGAAUUAUUGGGCGUAAAGAGCUCGUAGGCGGUCUGUCGCGUCGAUCGUGAAAACUUGGGGCUUAACCCUGAGCUUGCGGUCGAUACGGGCAUGACUGGAGUUCGGCAGGGGAGACUGGAAUUCCUGGUGUAGCGGUGAAAUGCGCAGAUAUCAGGAGGAACACCGGUGGCGAAGGCGGGUCUCUGGGCCGAUACUGACGCUG